CUGGUGACUGGGGCUAAGUCGUAACAAGGUAGCCGUACCGGAAGGUGCGGCUGGAACACCUCCUUU
rnacentral:rRNA from 1 species